UACAAAUAAGUAGGACUAGCUUUGUAAUUCAUUCUCUCUCUCUCUCUCUCCCUCCCUCCCUCCCUCCUUCCCUCCUUCCCUCCCCCCUUCUCUCCAUUGCAAUUUCAUUGAGAAACAAUGGCAAAAAUGUACUGAGCCAAUCUUAAGCAUGUUUCUAGUGAGUGUCCUGAAGCAGGCAUCUUCUGAAAUCUCCAAAGAGAUUAGGAUUUUCAAAUAGUCUUACCAGCUUUUAAGACUGCAGACAUUCAACACACAGACUGGCUUUGGGGCACUGUUGUGAAUUUAACUGAUUUGAAGGAGGCUCAUCAACUGCAGACUGAAAGCUGCUGUUUCCAGAGCAGUGAUUGAAUUUCCAGCAAUGAUUUCUACCCGUUACCUACCAUGCGCUGCUUAUUAAAUACGAAACCCAUUGCCCUGAAGAAUCUGCUCACAAUCUCUGCAACAGUGGCAUCUGCAGAGGGGUGCUCCAGCCACUUGAAACUCAUUAAAACAUACUUGAGAUUGACAGUGAGUAGAGAACAUCUGUCAGACUUGGCCAAGAUUUCAAUCAAGUGUGAUGUUGCUGUGUUACAUUGACUUAAUAAAUGAGCUGGCUGCUGUCAGUGUAAGGAAAGUUUGGUUGUAAUUACUAUCCUGUUCUUUUCCCUUUUUUUCUGCAGAGUUCUUUCACAUAAAUAGCCAUAUUCUACGUGAAAUGUAUAAGAAGCCUACAGUUUAUACCGAUAACCCCAUACUUGAGUGGUUAAUUAAGAUUGCUGUGGGUUCCAGGCCAACUUGAACUACAAAAUGAGUUCCAGGACAGCCUGGGCUGCCACAUGAGACUGUGUCCCAUAUACACAAUCAAAAUUAAUGAGCAUAAAGUUCAUUUUUUAGAUGGCUAAAUUUUUACCAAGUGUGUGUUUCUUUAAGAAGUUACAUGGAUAUAUCCUGGAGCAGCAGGAAAAGUCUUACUGAUCUGUACUCUCUGGAGUAUCUUGAAGUAUACAUCCAGAAGAAAGGAAUUUCCACCUCAGUCUAUUGAAUAAAUGCCAAUAAAAGCAAGUCCGAAUGAAAUGCAAAACUGUUUCCCAAUAUCUAGAUGCCGUUGAUCAUCGUUCAGUGAUGCUUGCUCAUAACUCAUGCCACAGCAAUCUAUUCUGCCAGGGACUGAAGAGACUCAAAGGACACUAGCCUGUCCUAAUGAUAUGAUUUCAGAGCCAGUGAGUGGAAAACCAGACACAGAGUUCAGAUCAUUUCCACCAGAUUGUGUUUGCUCCAUCGGCCUUUUAGAAAUGUUUGUUUGAGGAAUCAGCUUAAAUACAAGACAUUGGCUCUGACCACCAAUAUUUCAUGAGGAUGAAAAAGAGCUACUGUUGUUCAAAGUUGGGAGAAGGAAAACUCCAGUCUCAUAUACAAGGGUAGUCUGUGCUCUAAGAGGUACUCGGUAAUUUUGGAUGAAUAUAUGGAUACACAGCAUCUGUUACUCAUUUGCCUGAAGGUCCAGAGAACUGGGGAAAUAUUUUAUCAAGAUCAAAGUUAACCUGAAGAUGACAGCUAAGUAAAUUCUCAAGUCAACUGAACAAGAAUAGGCUUUGCAGGUCCAAUGUGGACAACUGACAGUCUUACUGUCUGAAACUUUACUCACUCAAAAGGAAUUCCUUCCAUUUCCAGAAAGAAAUACCCUGUUAAUUAGAGUAAGUGUUUGAAGAAUGAUAAGAUCUAGGAUAUUUCUCAAAAGAACUUCAUUUCAAGGUAACAAAGAACUGGAAAUUGCUAAUUACCAUCUUCAAAGAACACUGACUGUGGGCAUAGGAUGUGGACACAAAUACAGUAUCUCUGAUCAUGUGAUGACUUCAUGGCUUAUUAUUCACUCCACUACCUAAGGCAAAUCUUCUCCCUAGUUUACCAAGAUCAAGAACAAUCACAUGUUGAUAGUUCAAUGAUAAUUAGAGAGAAGGUGUGUGUUCAUGUAUGACUGAAUGGACACUCCUAAUCUUCUAGAAAUAGGAAUUCCAAAACCAUUGUCUUCUCCUUAAGCCUUUGAAAGUCUCACAUUUGGAGCAGUGGUUUUAUUUUCCUUUUUAUAGUAACAAAGUGAGACAAGGAAAUCACAAAGCACAUGAACAAUGACAAUGUGUCCUUCGGGCCCGAAUACACAGUUACUAUAAGUUAGACUGAUGUUCAGUUGGGGCAUUAUGUUCUCUCAGAAACAGAGGUCUACAGAACGUCAGAAAGGAUCACUGAGAUCAUGACAACUGAAUAAAUACAAGUUUACUGAGCAA